rnacentral:rRNA from 1 species
UGGGGAAUAUUGGGCAAUGGGGGAAACCCUGACCCAGCGACGCCGCGUGAGGGAAGACGGCCUUCGGGUUGUAAACCUCUUUUGUACGGGAAGAAGGAAGUGACGGUACUGUACGAAUAAGUCCCGGCUAACUACGUGCCAGCAGCCGCGUAAUACGUAGGGGACGAGCGUUGUCCGGAAUUACUGGGCGUAAAGGGCGCGCAGGCUGUGCUGCAAGUCAGCUGUGAAAUGUCUGGGCUUAACCCGGGCAUGCGGUUGAGACUGCAGUGCUGGAGUGCUGUAGAGGCAAGUGGAAUUCCCAGUGUAGCGGUGAAAUGCGUAGAUAUUGGGAAGAACACCGGUGACGAAGACGACUUGCUGGGCAGCAACUGACGCUGAGGCGCGAAAGCCAGGGGAGCAAACGG